rnacentral:lncRNA from 10 species
AAGUGCUGGGAUUCCAGGCGUGAGCCACCGCGCCGGGACCCAAGGCCCUUAAGUUUUAAGGCCUCAUUCUUCAGUCAGGUUUUCCCUGUUCCCGCGUGUUCGGCCAAUUUUUUGUUGUUGUUGUUUUGUUUUUGUUUUUGUUUUUGAGUCAAUUUUCCAGACAUCUUUAAUUAGCAAUAUGUUUAAGUAGUUACAAGCCUUUCCUUCUUUUCUUGUGACAGUUUGGGUUGAAUUUCUAUCGUUUGCAGCCUGUCACUGUAAGGCACAAACAUGAUCACGCAAGAUGCGAUAGUAGAUUUAAGCCAGUUGUUUUUAAGUUUGUGUUUAAGGAGAAACUAACAAUGAAAACGGCCUCGUUGACGGAGGAAAAGUUGGAAUGCAGCCUCUGGUGCUGUUUGAGCGAUCCCUCUCCCCGGGGCCUGGCCGCGCGCUGCUGUGUUCUGGAAGGGCUCAUUGUACAGUCAAGGCGGCAGGGCCUUCUUCUGUCACCCAUGCUGGAGUGCAGUAGCAUGAUCACAGCUCACGGUAGCCUCCACCUUCUGGGCUCAAUCCUCCUACCUCAGCCUUCCAAGUAGCUGGGACUACAGACUAGCCCUGCUUGCAACUUCCACGUGCAGUCCUCCGCAAUGCUGCCAGAGCGGCAGCUACAACUCUAUGAUUGAAGGCAUCGCCCUCCUGGUUCUCCAUAUUGUUUGCCAUCUUGGACAGAUAAACUAGAUGAGCUCUUUUUUCAACACUCAGAGAAUGUUUUGAAUUCACAUUUCUGCCAUCUUACUCACCUAUUCGAAUCAGUUCCCUCCCCCUCCCUUGUAUCAAAUAUUGUCUCUGAUAAUAAUACAUUGAGUUAUUUGUAGUUCCUGAAGAAUUUCAUGUUCUUAUAACAUGAAAUUUUUUCCCACACUAUUUGUUAUAACUAGUUUACCUAUUUCUGCCUAAAUAAAAUCUUCUCC